AGGCAUUAUAGACCCUUUUUUUUUAACGCUGGAUAUAUUAUGCUAUUACAAAUUCUGAGAAAUAUUACAAGACGAUUCUAUAGCCAAUAAUUCUACCUGCCUUAUGAGGAUUCAUGUCUGACUGCAUCACCUGAGCCGCCCUAUCGGAUCCAUGCUUGACGGUACUCCUUGUGCCAUGCUGCAGAUCUCUUGUAUGUCGUUUCUCUAUUAAUUCGCAUAAUUCUGCUUUCUCCGGGAAUUGAAAUCCAGACCUCCUGGUGUAGAAGCAUUAAUGAACUCUUAGUCAACCCACUGGACCAAGG
rnacentral:lncRNA from 1 species